rnacentral:lncRNA from 1 species
AACACCAUUGAUCCCCAUCCUUUAUCGAUUCCACAAACCGCGGGAUGUCUGCUGCACCCACAUUAGCAAAUUAUCUCAGCCAACACAAGGAUCCUAAACCCCAAAAUAAAGCAGCAGUGGCACUCCCAGCUCUUUAGCAUCUCAAGCUCCUAAAUUAGCAUCUCAAACCUGCACUGAAUGGGAAUGUUAAUGUCUGGCCACUUAAGAUUGACAAGCUCAGAGUGUUCACUGGGGAGGCAAUUGUCAGUUCAGAAAAAGGCUCGGGAUUUGGGGGCUGUCCUUAGUCGGAUCUGUGCUCUGGGAUGGAUGUGGAAAGUAUAAGCUUUUGGCGGAAUUCGCUGUGCACAUCACGCGGGUAGGCGUGACUUGAGUCCCAGGCCAUGACACUGAAGCCCUCAGAGUGUGACCUGGGGCCACGGGGCUGUGGAUAUGGCCCGAUACGAAGACGUGGUGUGGCUCCCAUGAGCGUCCUAUUCCCAGAAGACCUCCGAGGACCCUGUGGCACCUGGCUUGGGUGACCCGGGACGUUUCCGCGGGCGAACCCCAUCCAGGGAGGGCUUGGGCUGUGAUGUGUGAGCCUGCACUGCCGCCGCGCGGCCACUUUUGAGUCCACACUUACAACCGAUUCUGUGCCAUCCGGGUGGUGAGACAGAAGGGGAAGCGUCCACAAAUACCCAUGUGCUACGCAAGAGCCCCCAGUUUCUGUGCCUGCCAGAGACCCUGUGGGAGGGGCCUCACGCUGAGGCCGAGAUCCCCAUCAUCCAAGGAAUGGGGACACCUCAUUGU